rfam:Arabidopsis lyrata subsp. lyrata unplaced genomic scaffold ARALYscaffold_6, whole genome shotgun sequence.
GGCUCUGUGAUUACUUUGCCUAAUUGGCAGUAUACGCUAUUCUGAAAAACAGAGUAUGAAAGAUAACUAAUUUUUACUUAAUGAGAGCC